rnacentral:rRNA from 1 species
AUACGGAGGGUGCAAGCGUUACUCGGAAUCACUGGGCGUAAAGCGCGCGCAGGCGGUCUUUUAAGUUGGAUGUGAAAGCCUACGGCUCAACCGUAGAACUGCAUCCAAAACUAUUAGGCUAGAGUGUGGGAGAGGAAGAUGGAAUUAGUUGUGUAGGGGUAAAAUCCGUAGAGAUAACUAGGAAUACCAAAAGCGAAGGCAAUCUUCUGGAACACUACUGACGCUGAGGCGCGAAAGCGUGGGGAGCAAACAGGAUUAGAAACCCCAGUAGUCC